UUCUGUUCGGUUCAUGUGAAA
ensembl:piRNA 21ur-7147 ncRNA